UACGAAGGGGGCUAGCGUUGUUCGGAUUUACUGGGCGUAAAGCGCACGUAGGCGGAUCGAUCAGUCAGGGGUGAAAUCCCAGGGCUCAACCCUGGAACUGCCUUUGAUACUGUCGAUCUGGAGUAUGGAAGAGGUGAGUGGAAUUCCGAGUGUAGAGGUGAAAUUCGUAGAUAUCGGGAGGAACACCGGUGGCGAAGGCGGCGACCUGGGUCGAUACUGACGCUGAGGUGCGAAAGCGUGGGGAGCAAACAGG
rnacentral:rRNA from 1 species